UAUAUAUAUAUAUAUAUAUAUAUAAGUUUUAAAAGCGUAAUAUAACUCAUUGUUUAAAAUAUCAUAUCAUAUAAUAAAAAUAUUUAAAGUCUUAAAGUAAAAAUAUUUCAUAAUAUAAAUGACACACAAUAAAAAUUAGGAUUAGAAUUUUUAGGAUGAGUAAAUAAAAAAUAUAUAUUAAUUAAGAAAAUAUAUUUUAUAGCUAAAAAAUAUAUAUACGGGUACUCGUUGGUACUCGUGGGUUACCCAAAAUAUCCACUGCUUAAUGGGUAGCUAUCCGUUUUACCCGUAAUUUUUUGUGUUGAAAAAGUUGGUAUCCAUACCCGCAAAUUUGUAGGUAACCUGCGGAUGCCCACGGAUUUGGGUUAAGAUUGUCAGGUCUAAUACC
rnacentral:lncRNA from 1 species